AGUGAACGCUGGCGGUAGGCCUAACACAUGCAAGUCGAACGGCAGCACAGUAAGAGCUUGCUCUUACGGGUGGCGAGUGGCGGACGGGUGAGGAAUACAUCGGAAUCUACUUUUUCGUGGGGGAUAACGUAGGGAAACUUACGCUAAUACCGCAUACGACCUACGGGUGAAAGCAGGGGAUCUUCGGACCUUGCGCGAUUGAAUGAGCCGAUGUCGGAUUAGCUAGUUGGCGGGGUAAAGGCCCACCAAGGCGACGAUCCGUAGCUGGUCUGAGAGGAUGAUCAGCCACACUGGAACUGAGACACGGUCCGGACUCCUACGGGAGGCAGCAGUGGGGAAUAUUGGACAAUGGGCGCAAGCCUGAUCCAGCCAUACCGCGUGGGUGAAGAAGGCCUUCGGGUUGUAAAGCCAUUUUGUUGGGAAAGAAAAGCAGCAGGUUAAUACCCCGCUGUUCUGACGGUACCCAAAGAAUAAGCACCGGCUAACUUCGUG
rnacentral:rRNA from 1 species